AGCUUUGCGCAGUGGCAGUAUCGUAGCCAAUGAGGUUUAUCCGAGGCGCGAUUAUUGCUAAUUGAAAACUUUUCCAUUCCGAUCCUGGAACUGGCUGAUGGCUGAUCUAGGACAAGAUUCAGAGGGGGCCUCCCUGGUGGCCU